AGAGUUUGAUCAUGGCUCAGAUUGAACGCUGGCGGUAUGCUUAACACAUGCAAGUCGAACGGUAGCAGGCCUUCGGGCGCUGACGAGUGGCGGACGGGUGAGUAACGCGUAGGAAUCUGCCUCAUAGUGGGGGACAACGUGUGGAAACGCACGCUAAUACCGCAUACGCCCUACGGGGGAAAGCGGGGGAUCUUCGGACCUCGCGCUAUGAGAUGAGCCUGCGUUGGAUUAGCUAGUUGGUAGGGUAAAGGCCUACCAAGGCGACGAUCCAUAGCUGGUCUGAGAGGACGAUCAGCCACACUGGGACUGAGACACGGCCCAGACUCCUACGGGAGGCAGCAGUGGGGAAUAUUGGGCAAUGGGCGCAAGCCUGAUCCAGCAAUACCGCGUGUGUGAAGAAGGCCUUAGGGUUGUAAAGCACUUUCAAUGGGGAGGAAAACCUGCCGGUCAAUACCCGGUAGCUUGACAUUACCUUUAGAAGAAGCACCGGCUAACUCCGUGCCAGCAGCCGCGGUAAUACGGAGGGUGCGAGCGUUAAUCGGAAUUACUGGGCGUAAAGCGUGCGUAGGCGGUCCGUUAAGUCAGAUGUGAAAGCCCCGGGCUCAACCUGGGAACUGCAUUUGUAACUGGCGGACUAGAGUUUAGUAGAGGGGAGUGGAAUUUCAGGUGUAGCGGUGAAAUGCGUAGAUAUCUGAAGGAACACCAGUGGCGAAGGCGACUCCCUGGACUAGAACUGACGCUGAGGUACGAAAGCGUGGGUAGCAAACAGGAUUAGAUACCCUGGUAGUCCACGCCGUAAACGAUGUCAACUAGCCGUUGGCCCUAUUUACAGGGUUAGUGGCGCAGCUAACGCAUUAAGUUGACCGCCUGGGGAGUACGGCCGCAAGGUUAAAACUCAAGUGAAUUGACGGGGGCCCGCACAAGCGGUGGAGCAUGUGGUUUAAUUCGAUGCAACGCGAAGAACCUUACCUACCCUUGACAUCCAGAGAAUCUGUUAGAGAUAGUAGAGUGCCUUCGGGAGCUCUGAGACAGGUGCUGCAUGGCUGUCGUCAGCUCGUGUCGUGAGAUGUUGGGUUAAGUCCCGUAACGAGCGCAACCCUUGUCCUUAGUUGCCAGCGGGUCAAGCCGGGAACUCUAGGGAGACUGCCGGUGAUAAACCGGAGGGAGGUGGGGACGACGUCAAGUCAUCAUGGCCCUUAUGGGUAGGGCUACACACGUGCUACAAUGGCCGGUACAGAGGGCUGCGAACUUGCGAAAGUAAGCGAAUCCCAGAAAGCCGGUCUUAGUCCGGAUUGGAGUCUGCAACUCGACUCCAUGAAGUCGGAAUCGCUAGUAAUCGCGAAUCAGAAUGUCGCGGUGAAUACGUUCCCGGGCCUUGUACACACCGCCCGUCACACCAUGGGAGUGGGUUGCAAAAGAAGUGGGUAGUCUAACCUUCGGGAGGGCGCUCACCACUUUGUGAUUCAUGACUGGGGUGAAGUCGUAACAAGGUA
rnacentral:rRNA from 1 species